GCGGGUGUGGCGGAAUUGGUAGACGUGCCAGACUUAGGAUCUGGUGUCGCGAGACGUAAGGGUUCGAGUCCCUUCAUCCGCA
rnacentral:tRNA from 2 species